rnacentral:rRNA from 1 species
CCCUUAGAUGUUCUGGGCCGCACGCGCGCUACACUGACGCAUUCAACGAGUCUAAAACCUGGUCUGAUAGGGCUGGGUAAUCUUUUGAAUGUGCGUCGUGAUUGGGAUAAAUGAUUGUAAUUCUUCAUUUUCAACGAGGAAUGCCUAGUAAACGCAAGUCAUCAGCUUGCAUUGAUUAUGUCCCUGCCCUUUGUACACACCGCCCGUCGCUCCUACCGAUUGAAUGAUCCGAUGAAUAUCAUGGACUGAGAGUGUUAGAGUUUUCGGACUUCUACACUUCUCGGGAAGUGAAGUGAAUCUUAUCAUUUAGAGGAAGGAGAAGUCGUAACA